GUCUCUGUAACUCAGUUGGUUAGAGCCCUGCACCGGAAUCGCAGGGCCGCGGGUUCAUUUCCUGCCAGGGACC